rnacentral:rRNA from 1 species
UACGUAGGUGGCGAGCGUUAUCCGGAAUUAUUGGGCGUAAAGAGCGCGCAGGUGGUUGAUUAAGUCUGAUGUGAAAGCCCACGGCUUAACCGUGGAGGGUCAUUGGAAACUGGUCGACUUGAGUGCAGAAGAGGGAAGUGGAAUUCCAUGUGUAGCGGUGAAAUGCGUAGAGAUAUGGAGGAACACCAGUGGCGAAGGCGGCUUCCUGGUCUGUAACUGACACUCAGACGCGAAAGCUAGGGUAGCAAACGGGAUUAGAUACCCCCGUAGUU